UAUCGGUGUCCGCACUGCAAGGUGGUUUUCUGGACAGUAGCGGAACUAGACAGAAAAUGAUGGGCGGGCCAGUCUGAAGGAUAGACCAAUAAAACCUAGUGGAUCAGACUUUUAGUGGGCUGAACCUUAGUAUUUUGCUCAAAACCAUUUCUGCUUGAGGUAUUGGUGCUGCCUGCUUUUUCUUCACGAAACCAAGAUCUUCUUCACUUUCCUGUUGGGUUCUUCUCUCAAAACAAAACUUGACUCUGAUUGUGUCAUCGUCAACAAAGAGCACGCCUUUGAAGAUGAGCGCUG